UAGCACCACUGAAGCAUGUUGUAUUUUAAAGGUCAUUGUCAUCACUUUCAAAGAGUCUCAGAAAUAAAGGUUGAUACAAAUUUGCCUACUUGAAAAAGAAGAAAGAAAAUGAACAAUGGGGAAGAAAUUCUUCAGAGGAUGGAAAGCCCUAGGAAAAAAACUAAAUUUGGGUAAAUUGUAAAGAGAAUGAAAGCAGAUCAGGGAUUGGUGAAAUUUGGAUCUG
rnacentral:lncRNA from 13 species